UUCGUACCUGGUUUGGUUUCGUCUUCAAAGGUCGAUUGUGCUUGCUAUUUGAAGGUUGUAGCUUCUUCCAGUGCUGAAGAAGGGGGUAAUUCUGAUCUAUUGCUCAUAAAUAACUUUCUACUAGACUUCUAGUUAUUCUGAUAUUAGGAUGUUGCUUUUCUCGCAUGCAUCUAUUCUAAGGGACUUAUUAUUGUGUGUUGAAUGUUGAAUAUGACGGGAACCGAUAGUUCUACUCCUUCUAGUUCUACAUACUCCCCUGUCCCUUCUAGUCCUCUACACCUUCACUCCUCUGACAUUCCUGGCUCGUGUUUGGUGUCAGUUCUCUUCUCCACUAUACAUAUCGAUAUACAUAGAGAUUCACACUUGUUAGUUUCGAAUGAAGAAUGAAAAGUGCCCUACCAUCCAUCUCCAAAUAGUAAAUGCGCUGCUAAGUUCAGAUGUCUGCUCGUCUGAAACUGAAUUUAGUAGUCCGGAAUGGUCGUAGGGAGAGGAAUGCGGGAAAGUGGGGUCCUCUCACGUGUGCUUGGAGGUUAGAGGAUGAGUAUGGUAGUUUCUUUGUCUGCAAAAAAUAAGAUUGCAUUCAUUGAUGGAACUUAUCCUAAACCACCUGAUAAUUCUCCACAACUUCAACAAUAGAAUAGAUGUAAUAACAUGGUAAUAUCAUGGAUAACCGGUUCUCUAACCCCAACCAUUGUUGAGUUUGUACAAUACUCUGAAACUGCUGAAAGUAUAUGGAGACAGUUAGAAAGUAGAUAUGGUACUGUGAAUGGAACCAAAGGUUUUGAGCAUAAGAAGGAACUUGUCUUUACUUCUCAGGGUUCCUCAGAUAUAGUCUCAUACUUUAACAAACUUAAAAAACUAUAGGAUGAAUUAGAGAUGACGCGUAAAAAACAUUCAAAUUCUUGUGUUUGUCCUGCCAAGUCUGGUACUCAAAAGAAAGAGGAAGAAGAUAAAGUACACCAAUUCCUUAUGGGACUAAAUGAGAUAUAUGUGAGUGUAAGAAAUAAUCUCUUAAUAAUGAAUUCAUUGCCUUCUCUUGAUACUAUAUACAACAUUCUUCUCCAAGAUGAGAGGCAGAUACAAGUCACCUCCACAUCUCAGUUUAAUCCAGAGUCAUCAUCCUUUAAUGUGAAUUUCUCUAAUAAAUCUCAAGCUCAGUCAAUUUUAUUCAAAAGUCAUACAAUCAGACAUACAACCAGAGGGUUAGUUUUAAUCAGACAAAGGGUAAUCUCUUCUGCAAAUAUUGCAAGAAACCUGAACAUCUUAUUGACAAAUGCUAUAAACUUUAUAGUUUUCCGCCAAACUUCAAGUUCACUAAAGGCAAAAGGAUGGUGGCCAAUGCCUGUGUGGGUGAGAGUAAUGCUCCUAUGGGUGGAAUUCAGUAUGAGCAGGGUUCUUUGGUGCCUGGUCUUACAAAGGAGUAGUACUCACAACUGAUAACUUUGUUGCAUCUAACCCAUGUAUCUGAUUCUGGACAAUCUGGUCCUCAAUCCAACCUUGCAGUUUUUGCCAAUUUUGAUGAUACUUUGUUGCAUACUAAUGUAGUUGGUUCUUCUCUUUCUUGCAUGUUUUCACAUUCUUCUAGUUCUGUCUGGAUUGUGGACUCUGGUACCACAUAUCGUAUGACUGCUAGUAAAGACCUUCUUUUUUAUAUCAAUCCACUGAUUAUACCUCUACUUGUUUCACUUCCAAAUGGAUAUAAAGCAAAAGUAACUUUCAUUGGUUCUUUUGCACUAACAUCCUCUAUCACUGUUCACAAUGUACUUUUCAUUCCAUCUUUUCAUCAUAAUCUAAUUUUUGUGUCAAAGCUUAUAUAGCAAUUGCAUUGCAUUGUCCAGUUUGGUCCUUACUCUUGUGUGUUACAGGGCCCUUAUUUGAAAAUGCCUCUAGAACUUGGUGAACUGGAUAAUGGACUUUAUAAAUUGGUACAUGAUGAUGCACCUCAUCCUACUCAUGUUGAAGUCCAACCUACAAAUAACAAAGUUUGCAGCUUACCAUCUUUGUGUACCACUGUUUCUGAU
rnacentral:lncRNA from 1 species